rnacentral:rRNA from 1 species
AUGAAGAAAGUGGCAUUGGUUAAAAUUCCACAGCUACACCCGCAAACUUGGACUUCAGAUUUGCUUGAAGGCAAGCUAGGGUCUAACAAAUUUGCUUGUACUGUUCUAUGUGGUUGUUGGGCAAUUUGGUCAGAGAGAAAUGCUAGAAGUCAUGGCGAGAAUGAACGUUCAGUGCAAGCUUCUGUACGGUGGGUGAUGGAAAGCGCCGUUGAUCUAACAAUCGUAGGGAAAGAGUCUAGACCUACAGUGACUAUGCACUCAGUUUUAUGGCAACCACCAGAGAAGGGAACUCUUAAGAUCAAUGUGGACGCUUCAUUCUUUGAGUACACCAGAUGUGGUGGUACAGGCCUGGUGAUCAGAGAUGUAGACAGCGUGUUACUAAGAGCACAGGCUCUUUGGUACCAAUUUGCAACAAAUGCUCAAAUUAUGGAAUUGUAUGCCAUUCGGGAUGGAAUUUAA